AAUGUCAAACGCAUUUAUUUUGAAAAAAUAUUUAUCGGCUGACAACCACCUUAAUUCAAUUAAUCGCGAUUCAAAAUGGCGGCGGCAUCUCACUUGAUCCCAUCUUGGAACCGCUACUUUUUUUAAGAAAAUACUUUGUAAUUAUGAUAAAAAAACGACGUUCGUGAAUUAUAAUCUAACGUGGAACAUCUACAAUUCAUUGUUUUUCAUUGAAUUUCUAAAAUAUGGCAGCGAAAAGCCAGAACUAAAAGAAAAAGAGCUGUCAGCCUGUCAGAGUCCACAAGGAAGGCUUGAAUUGUUCUCUCUUGGAAAAUAUUUGAAAGAUCGUUAUUUGCUGAGCUUUCUAAUGCUUUUAGCCUUUUAUAUUAAAAAAAAACGGUGAAAAUUCCAAGGAGAAUUAGGGUCUCAGGAAGGGGCCAGAUGGUUCUAAGUACGGGAUACAUCAUCUCUUUUUACCUAUUGGAAUUACGUGGAUUAACAGAGCAAUAUACACGCUUGAUUUUAAAGUGCUAAUUGAAGAACCGCCUGAAAGGAAUGAAAAAUCGGUGAAAGCAUGAAAGAUGAUUUUAAGUCAUGGGAGAUUUCAAAGGAUUAUUGUCAUUUUGCAGAAGAAGAUGGAGACUUAGAAUCAUGAGUUCGCCAGAAAUGGAUAUGCGGAGGUUUUUUUAUCUAUGUUUACUGGAGUUGCAAGUUUGUAGCGAGAUUAUCGUCUGUAAUCACGAUGAGGUUGUGGUAUGUUAUGAUUUUAUGAACGGAGUGUUUUUCGUCCGUGUAAAGGCUGGAGCAAAACGUUAGAGUUCAGAGCUCUCUCGACCUCGACAGACAAGGCUUGUGCGUGCGACCACUUGCGAUAAAGUCAUCACUCACAUGAAGUGGAGCAAUUAGCUGAAAACUCGUCCAAAUUUGGUAAUUUAUCAUAACACUGAUGGAUUUCUACAUGAUCGUGUUGAAUUUCCAACAGUUGUCCACGCGAUGUAGCAAUUGUUUGAAAGCACGUCAGACCCCUGCCAUUGCAUGUGAAUGCACUGCCACUGGACUGCUAUGCCGCAAAACCACAGAGAUUCAAACGACAAAGGUGAAAUGAAAAUGCGUCUUCAAUUUGCAAAACUAGUCUGGACUGAUCAGACACGGUGAUCGAGGAAAGAUAUGUAUAAGUCUGGACCUUCCGCGGUCUAAAUUCGUGCUGGGAGUUCAUAGAUACGCUGGUGAGCGCCGUGAGACAGUACUGUAUUUCAGAAUCAUAACUCAUUAAGGAUAUCAAAUUCAUAUUAAUCUAGCGCAGCAGAGAACAACUUUGUUGCCGAAGCGAGAUUUAAAAUAAGUUCUGGACGUUUCUAGAUCGCUGCGCGACCACCAACCAUAAGCUGCGAUCGAAACAGCUUCGUUUGUUAACAAGUAUUAUAAAUUUAAGUACAAGAGAUAUUCCUGUGACGAAGUUACUGGAUUUAAUCCGGAAUAACAUUAAGCAGUGAUAAUUGUAGAAUCGGCUGAAUCGCAUCGUCACAAUGGGCAAUUCAGUGUUUUACAGGUUUUUUUAGUAAUCGUUUGGGCGUAACUCGUCUUUUGACGAUAACUGUCUUGUGAAAGGUUGCGUAUAAGAAUACGCAAUACAUGGAAGCAAGACGAGAAAAAUAGGCCAUACGCUUCUAGUUGGUUGUAAAACAUACAACACAUA